rnacentral:lncRNA from 1 species
AAAACGUAGGCUUGGAUUAAGGCGACAGCGAUUUCUAGGAUAGUCAGUAGAAUUAGAAUUGUGAAGAUGAUAAGUGUAGAGGGAAGGUUAAUAGUUGAUAUUGCUAGUGUGGCGCUUCCAAUUAGGUGCAUGAGUAGGUGGCCUGCAGUAAUGUUAGCGGUUAGGCGUACGGCCAGGGCUAUUGGUUGAAUGAGUAGGCUGAUGGUUUCGAUAAUAACUAGUAUAGGGAUAAGGGGUGUAGGUGUGCCUUGUGGUAAGAAGUGGGCUAGGGCAUUUUUAAUCUUAGAGCGAAAGCCUAUAAUCACUGCGCCCGCUCAUAAGGGGAUGGCCAUGGCUAGGUUUAUAGAUAGUUGGGUGGUUGGUGUAAAUGAGUGAGGCAGGAGUCCGAGGAGGUUAGUUGUGGCAAUAAAAAUGAUUAAGGAUACUAGUAUAAGAGAUCAGGUUCGUCCCUUAGUGUUGUGUAUGGCUAUCAUUUGUUUUGAGGUUAGUUGGAUUAGUCAUUGUUGGGUGGUAAUUAGUCGGUUGUUGAUGAGAUAUUUGGAGGUGGGGAUCAAUAGAGGGGGAAAUAGAAUGAUCAGUACUGCGGCGGGUAGAAGUAGAGGUUAAGGAGGGUGAUGAUGGCUAUGAUGGUGGGGAUGAUGAGGCUAUUGUUUUUUGUGAAUUCUUCGAUAAUGGCCCAUUUGGGCAAAAAGCCGGUUAGCGGGGGCAGGCCUCCUAGGGAGAGGAGGGUGGAUGGAAUUAAGGGUGUUAGUCAUGUUAGCUUGUUUCAGGUGCGAGAUAGUAGUAGGGUUGUGGUGCUGGAGUUUAAGUUGAGUAGUAGGAAUGCGGUAGUAGUUAGGAUAAUAUAAAUAGUUAAAUUAAGAAUGGUUAUGUUAGGGUUGUACGGUAGAACUGCUGUUAUUCAUCCUAUGUGGGUAAUUGAGGAGUAUGCUAAGAUUUUGCGUAGUUGGGUUUGGUUUAAUCCACCUCAACUGCCUGCCAUGAUGGAUAAGAUUGAAAGAGUGAGGAGAAGGCUUACGUUUAAUGAGGGAGAAAUUUGGUAUAUGAUUGAGAUGGGGGCUAGUUUUUGUCAUGUGAGAAGGAGCAGGCCGGAUGUCAGAGGGGUGCCUUGGGUAACCUCUGGGACUCAGAAGUGAAAGGGGGCUAUUCCUAGUUUUAUUGCUAUAGCCAUUAUGAUUAUUAAUGAUGAGUAUUGAUUGGUGGUAUUGGUUAUGGUUCAUUGUCCGGAGAGUAUAUUGUUGAAGAGGAUAGCUAUUAGAAGGAUUAUGGAUGCGGUUGCUUGCGUGAGGAAAUACUUGAUGGCAGCUUCUGUGGAACGAGGGUUUAUUUUUUUGGUUAGAACUGGAAUAAAAGCUAGCAUGUUUAUUUCUAGGCCUACUCAGGUAAAAAAUCAGUGCGAGCUUAGCGCUGUGAUGAGUGUGCCUGCAAAGAUGGUAGAGUAGAUGACGGGUUGGGCCAGGGGAUUAAUUAGUACGGGAAGGAUAUAACCAACAUUUUCGGGGUAUGGGCCCGAUAGCUUAUUUAGCUGACCUUACUUUAGGAUGGGGUGUGAUAGGUGGCACGGAGAAUUUUGG